ACAUUUCCACGUGGAUGCAUGAAUAUCAGUCAGACGAUAAACUAUGAAUUUGCUGAAACGACGAAUGCAAACGCGAAGUCACGUGCUCAUUAAAUAAACCGACUCGUAAUGUAUAAAAAAAUAAAAAAUGUGCCACGUAGUAUAAUUGGUCGACUGGGAGGCGAAACUUACAAAUUCAGAUAUUCCACGGUCAAUAUUUUCGAACGAAGAGAGACACCGAGAGGUUUGGUCGAAAGUUCUACGAAGCACAUCUGCGAGAUAGGAGAUUGGCAAAAAUGUUGGACCAGACCGUCGAGGGCCAGGGCUAUAUAAGGUCCUGGGCAGGAUAUUACCUUCGAAAUCUAAUUAUGAGAUUUUUAUAGGGCUAUCGUAAAACGGCCGAAUAAUAGUUCGCGGUUGCUUGAGGGGGAGGGACCGGCGCAAUCUUCCGCAAGGAUAAUGGGGAAUAGCAAAAAGAAACACUGACUCUCCACGGAGGACUCCAGUUCUAACGCCGGCUCCUAAUCAAACGGACUCUGCCCGCCCGUAAUUGGACUCUGCUCGCGGGAAUGUUAAUUAGAGAACCAAGGUGCCACAAUCGUGAAUCAUCGUACCGACAAUAAUGUCAAAACGAUCAAAAAUGUCAAAAAUGCGAGAUCCGAAAUAAACGAAAGUCAUACUGGCCGA